AUUCACGGUGUCUGCCCAGGAGGAUUUUGCAGUUUAAUGGGAGAGAGGAACAAAUAAUUGUUCUGCCCUGAAGAUCAGAUGAGGACAAUGAAGCCCAGAGAGGGGAAGGGACUUGGCCAAAGUCAUGUGGUGGGCAAGAAGCUUUGAGGAGCCAUGCAGUGGAAGGGACAAGAACUUGCCAGUAGGUGGGUGAAAGCCUCCCUGAGCACUCACAAGUCUUACCUGAGAGCCCUUCCUGGAGCUGAGAAGCCAACGGUGAAGACAGAAUGUACGACACAGGCCGUCGGCCACGGCAAACGCAGCUCUGGGUCCUGGGGCAAGGGAAACCCUCCUGGAAGAGCACUUCUAGGGAAUUGAGGCGUCAACCGAAGUCCCCUGGUGAGCCAGAAAAGCGGCCACAACAGCCUGAUUCAGAGCCGGUCUGGGCCUCAGUGUCCUCGUCUGUACAACGGGCAGCUCCUUCCAGCUCACGCAGAUUCGAAUGGCUGAGGUUCCGAAGAGUCACCCUGGCACCGGUUGCCACUUCCUGGGUAGUGCCUCUCCCACCCUCAGAGCCCUCCUUCCGCCCUGCAGCACCCCUCCCACCCCACCCUCGCCUUCAACAGGCUCCCGCCUCCUCUCCACCUGAGUCCCGCUUGCCUCAGCUGUCCUUCAUCGACGUGCAAGAUUUCCCCGCCCCUCUGGGCCCCUCGCAAAGCCCCCGCUGGAGAACACGUAGCCCCUACUGGAGGUCUAAUCAAAGCAUUAUUGCCUCUCCUAAGUUACCUGUUUAAGGUUUGCCGGAGCCCGUCUGUAGACGUGGCUUACGGCCAGGGGGUGACUCUCCCGGUGGGAACACUGGAGAGGAGCUAGGGAGGACAGGCUGACCUACAAUGUGCCCCACAUCUGCUUUUGUAUCGCUGCCUUGAUUCCAACAUAAAGGAUG